UACGGGGGGAGCAAGCGUUGUUCGGAUUUAUUGGGCUUAAAGAGCGUGUAGGCGGCUAGGUAGGUCCGUUGUGAAAACUCGAGGCUCAACCUCGAGACGCCGAUGGAAACCAUCUGGCUAGAGUCCGGAAGAGGAGAGUGGAAUUCCUGGUGUAGCGGUGAAAUGCGCAGAUAUCAGGAAGAACACCCGUGGCUAAGGCGGCUCUGUAGUACGGUACUGACGCUGAGACGCGAAAGCGUGGGGAGCGAACAGG
rnacentral:rRNA from 1 species